UCAAGACACCCCCACCUCCAUACAUACCUCAAAAAAAAAAUUGGCUAAUACAAUUUUGAAAGUUAAAAGUGAAGGGCUAAGGUUGGUAAGGGUGCUAGUAUAGCAUUCACGGAGUCCUCUAAUCACCAGUACCACCCAAACAAAAAGUGGUGGUACAGGCCUGUAGUCCCAACACUCAGUAGACACCAACACUCAGUAGACAUCUUUAGCUACACCGUGAGUUAAUGGCCAGCCUGGAAUACAUGAGAACCUGUUUCCAAAAAUUAAAAAAAAAAGAAAGAAAGAAAAGGAAGCAUUUUAUUAAAAUAUAUCAGCAACAAAAGGCCAUUACAGUGUCAAGACAGCAUGGCAUGGUGGUGUGGUGCAUAGUAUAUGAUCCAGCGCUUAGGAGGUAGAGGCAGGAGAAUCGGAGGUUCAAGGUCUUUCUUGAAGGCAUAGGUGAGUUCAUGUAGCCUGGAUUUUGUGGAAUCUUGUCUCAAAAAAAAUGUGUUUGUAGGCUUAGAUUUUUCAAAACCAACUUUAAUAAGGAGUCUUAAAUGCUUUUAACCUCCCUUCUAGCCCACUGACCAAAGGUAAAGAUGGUUAAUUGGAUAAGGGGGAUAUGGACCUGUUUAGAAGUAGUUCUUUGGGAAGAUUCCAAACAUGAAUCAGUAGUAGCAGCUCAGUCCAGAAGAGACCUCUAGGCUCCUCCGAAUAGGCAGAAAUCUGAGGAAAUAAUAAGAAGCAGCAAGACUAUCAAGAGAAGUUCUUUGGUGUUUUUCUCUUUAUGAAAUCACAACAAGAGAAGAUCAGCAAAGUCCAGAAAAGCGUUGCAAGGCAAACCAAUGCAAGAGCAUCGUUCACUGUCUGUUGGGUUAUACUCAUACUCUUUGUAAAUGCAUCCUCUUAAGUGUCUGCCUCAGCAAAACAUCCUCUCACAUGUCUGCUUCCAGAAAAAUAUCACCUGACACAUUUGAGUGUCCAUAGAAACCAGAAAUUUCCACUUCAAGUGUUGGGUCAGUGUUUAAAAGCACUGGCUGCUCAUCCAGGAGACCCAGGUUCAAUCCCCAGCAUCCACAUGGCAGCUCACAAUCACCUGUAAGUCCAGUUCCUAGGGAUUUUGACACCAUCUUCUGGCUUCUGUGGCACUAGUAAUGAAACUGGUGCACAGAUAUGGGUGUUGUCUGCAAGCCACCCAGACACAUAAAACACUAGGCAAGCAAACAAAUAGAAUUUUAAAAAGAAAGAAUAGAGUUGAAAAAGAACAAUUUUUUUCUCACUUUUGUUGGGAAACAACUUACACAUAGUACAUGGCACCUUUCUUGAACUCUCAGUUCAAUGAGUUUUAACAAUGCAGAAUAUUCCCACCAACUGAGCAUGUUACCUCAUGAUCUAUGGCAGAUGAUCCCUCCACUACCAAAGGGCCUAUGUGACCACUGAUUUGGUUUGUGUUAGUGCAAUACAUUUCACCUUUUCUGGAAUUUUUUUUAUAAAUGUAGUCAUCUAUUAUAAAUUUUCUUUGGAAUCUUGCUUUCCUGGUGUAGCAUAGUGGUUUUGAGGUUAGAUCAUUUUAUUAUUGCUAAGUAAGAUUCUGCUGCGUGGCUCUCUCAACUUCUGCUUAUCCACUCCUUAUUUAGUGGAUGUUUGGUUUGCUUCCAGUUUGGUAUUUUUGUGAAUAAGGAUGUCCUGAGCAGCCAUGUGGAAGUCUUUAUGUGGGAGUAUGUUUUCAUUCAUUUUGGGUAAGAGUCUAAUGGCACAAUGCCUGGCCACAUAGGGAUAUUUUCUUGACUUUUGAGAAGCCACCAGACAUUUUCCAAGGUAACUUACCAUUUUCUAUUUUUAUCAAAAGUCAAGAAGGUUCCAGUUGCCCUGUGUCCUCGUGAAUGCACAAUAUCGUCUGUCUCAAUAUUAGCCAUUUUAAUGACUAUCUCCUUGUGUACUGCUUUGCAUUUGUCUACAAUGUUUAUUAACUACUAACAUCGUUUGUUUAUUAACUAUUCUUAAAUCCUACUCUGUGAAUUAUUUGUUCAAAUCUUUUAUCCAUUAACUUUUUUUGUUGUUUUAAUAAUUUGUAACCAUUUUUAAAAAGUCCUGGAUACAAAUAAUUUGCUGUAUAAGUUAUCUUCAUUUGUUUUUAUUUAAUGGCAUAAAAACAAAACCUUAACCUUUUGACAAAGCUCAGUAAGAAGUUCUGUUUUAUAGAUUGUGUUAUUUUUGUAGCUCAUAAAGAAAUAUUUAUCUAUUUUAUGUUUACAAAGACUUUUCUCCUCAGUUUUGUGUAAAGAGUUUUAGGCUUUUCAAGCCUUUACAUUCGGAUUAAUUUUAUUGUGCAAUGUAAGAUAAAUAUCUCUUUCCUUAGAAAUAUCCAACACUUCUAGCAACCUUCAUUGAGAAAAACCUUCCUUUACCUGUUGGAUUUCUCUGUGUUUUGAAACACCAGUUAACCAUAUACAUACAUGAUGGCUCAGAUCAGUGCCAUGGUGGGAAGCAGCAAUGGUGAGUGUGAGCAGCAAUGGUGAAUGUGAGCAAGCCCCUGCACCAUGCUCUCAGUCCCGGGCAUCAGUCAAGUCCUUACUAUGAAGAAUGGCUACAGGUGCUCACAGAUGGGGACUCCGAGCUGGCUUUUAUCAUUCUGUGUAGCAGAAGGAAUGACCUUGAACUUUGAGUCCUCUUCCCUCCAUCUCCCUACUGUUGGGAUUACAGGCAAGUGCAUCCAUCCUUCCAUCUCUGCCUCUUUUUCUCUUCCUUCAGGGUUAGCAUCUUGUUGGCCUCAUACUCGCGUUAGCAGAGGGUGACCUUGAACUCCACCUCCCAAGUUCUAAGAUCAUCUGCAUGGGAUGGCAGGCCUGCCUUACUCUCCAGCUGCCCAGUGCUCGUUAGAGCUUUAUCAGAAUUGCCGUUGGGUGGGCAUGGCUCCUUUACCUUUGAGUCAGCAGACAUUCAGACCAACAGACACAGAGAAAGAGAAUAGUUCUGCUUCAUAAGAUGGGUGAGCAGGGAGGAAACUAGGAUUACUGCCUUUACUCCCCCUCCUCUUCCUCCUCUUCCUUUUCCUCUUCCUCCUUUCCUUCUUCCUCUCCUCCUUCUCC